GUCGAACGGUAGCAGGAAGUGCUUGCACUUUGCUGACGAGUGGCGGACGGGUGAGUAAUGCUUGGGAACUUGCCUUUAGGUGGGGGAUAACAGUUGGAAACGACUGCUAAUACCGCAUAAUGUCUACGGACCAAAGGGGGCUUCGGCUCCCGCCUUGAGAGAGGCCCAAGUGAGAUUAGCUAGUUGGUGGGGUAAAGGCCUACCAAGGCAACGAUCUCUAGCUGUUCUGAGAGGAAGAUCAGCCACACUGGGACUGAGACACGGCCCAGACUCCUACGGGAGGCAGCAGUGGGGAAUAUUGCACAAUGGGGGAAACCCUGAUGCAGCCAUGCCGCGUGUGUGAAGAAGGCCUUCGGGUUGUAAAGCACUUUCAGUUGUGAGGAAAGGUUGGUAGUUAAUACCUGCCAGCUGUGACGUUAACAACAGAAGAAGCACCGGCUAACUCCGUGCCAGCAGCCGCGGUAAUACGGAGGGUGCGAGCGUUAAUCGGAAUUACUGGGCGUAAAGCGCACGCAGGCGGCUUGUUAAGCUAGAGGUGAAAGCCCCGCGCUCAACGUGGGAACUGCCUUUAGAACUGGCAGGCUAGAGUCUUGGAGAGGGGAGUGGAAUUCCAGGUGUAGCGGUGAAAUGCGUAGAUAUCUGGAGGAACAUCAGUGGCGAAGGCGGCUCCCUGGCCAAAGACUGACGCUCAUGUGCGAAAGUGUGGGUAGCGAACAGGAUUAGAUACCCUGGUAGUCCACACCGUAAACGCUGUCUACUAGCUGUUUGUGUAUUUAAUACGUGAGUAGCGAAGCUAACGCGCUAAGUAGACCGCCUGGGGAGUACGGCCGCAAGGUUAAAACUCAAAUGAAUUGACGGGGGCCCGCACAAGCGGUGGAGCAUGUGGUUUAAUUCGAUGCAACGCGAAGAACCUUACCUACUCUUGACUUCCAGGAAAUUUUUCAGAGAUGAAUUAGUGCCUUCGGGAAUCCUGAAACAG
rnacentral:rRNA from 1 species